GAUGAACGCUGGCGGCGUGCCUAAUACAUGCAAGUCGAGCGAACAGAUGAGGAGCUUGCUCCUCUGACGUUAGCGGCGGACGGGUGAGUAACACGUGGAUAACCUACCUAUAAGACUGGGAUAACUUCGGGAAACCGGAGCUAAUACCGGAUAAUAUAUUGAACCGCAUGGUUCAAUAGUGAAAGACGGUUUUGCUGUCACUUAUAGAUGGAUCCGCGCCGCAUUAGCUAGUUGGUAAGGUAACGGCUUACCAAGGCGACGAUGCGUAGCCGACCUGAGAGGGUGAUCGGCCACCCUGGAACUGAGACACGGUCCAGACUCCUACGGGAGGCAGCAGUAGGGAAUCUUCCGCAAUGGGCGAAAGCUUGACGGAGCAACGCCGCGUGAGUGAUGAAGGUCUUCGGAUCGUAAAACUCUGUUAUUAGGGAAGAACAAAUGUGUAAGUAACUAUGCACGUCUUGACGGUACCUAAUCAGAAAGCCACGGCUAACUACGUG
rnacentral:rRNA from 1 species